AGCUUUGCGCAGUGGCAGUAUCGUAGCCAACGAGGUUUAUCCGAGGCACGAUUAUUGCUAAUUGAAAACUAAACAGAAAAGAUC
ensembl:snRNA U4 U4 spliceosomal RNA